UCAAUAUUAAGGUAACGAAGUUGAUACUAGUUCUUGAAAUCCUAGUUGAUAUUGAGUGAGAUAUCAAGUUAUUGUUGGUAACCCAUGUUGAAAUUGUGAUUUUGGAAUAAGUAAGGUUUUUGGCUAUGGAGAUUAAUAAGGGUGAUGGUUGUGUUUCAUGCUAAAUCUAGAUGAACAAUGGUAGUUGCUUACAUCUUGAUAUUUAUGAGUUCCUUUCUUGGUUCUACCUUAGGUCCAUAAGU
rnacentral:lncRNA from 1 species